rnacentral:snoRNA from 1 species
CCAACGUGUAUAUCCCGGGAGGUCACUCUCCCCGGGCUCUGUCCUAGUGGCGUAGGGGAGCAUAGGGCUCUGUCCCAUGAUGUACAGUCCCUUUCCACAACGUUGGAGAUGAAGCUGGGCUUCGAGUCUGCGGCCUGCAUAUUCCUACAACUUCCCAGAGUUCUAGACAAUGACUGGGGAGACAAACCAUGCAGGAAACAGUC